rnacentral:rRNA from 1 species
UGGGGAAUAUUGGACAAUGGGCGAAAGCCUGAUCCAGCAAUACCGCGUGUGUGAAGAAGGCCUGAGGGUUGUAAAGCACUUUCAAUUGGGAGGAAAUGCUACUGGCUAAUACCUAGUAGAGUGACAUUACCAAUAGAAGAAGCACCGGCUAACUCCGUGCCAGCAGCCGCGGUAAUACGGAGGGUGCAAGCGUUAAUCGGAAUUACUGGGCGUAAAGCGUGCGUAGGCGGUUAGCUAAGUCAGAUGUGAAAGCCCCGGGCUUAACCUGGGAACUGCAUUUGAAACUGGUUGACUAGAGUUGAGUAGAGGGGAGUGGAAUUUCAGGUGUAGCGGUGAAAUGCGUAGAUAUCUGAAGGAACACCAGUGGCGAAGGCGACUCCCUGGACUCAAACUGACGCUG